rnacentral:rRNA from 1 species
UACGGAGGGUGCGAGCGUUAAUCGGAAUUACUGGGCGUAAAGGGUGCGUAGGUGGUUUAGUAAGUUAUCUGUGAAAUUCCUGGGCUUAACCUGGGCCGGUCAGAUAAAACUGCUAGGACUUGAGUAUAGGAGAGGGUAGUGGAAUUUCCGGUGUAGCGGUGAAAUGCGUAGAGAUCGGAAGGAACACCGGUGGCGAAGGCGGCUACCUGGCCUGAUACUGACACUGAGGCACGAAAGCGUGGGGAGCAAACAGG